UACGUAGGUGGCAAGCGUUGUCCGGAUUUAUUGGGUUUAAAGGGUGCGUAGGCGGCCUUAUAAGUCAGUGCUGAAAUAUCCCGGCUUAACCGGGAGGGUGGCAUUGAUACUGUAGGGCUUGAGUAAAGUUGAGGUUGGCGGAAUUGACGGUGUAGCGGUGAAAUGCUUAGAUAUCGUCAAGAACACCGAUAGUGAAGACAGCUUACUAGACUUCAACUGACGCUGAGGCACGAAAGUGUGGGGAUCAAACAGG
rnacentral:rRNA from 1 species